rnacentral:pre_miRNA from 1 species
CCCAACAUAGAGUCUAUGUUUGUAUGAGAGUUAAGUUAAUGUUUAACUUAACUCUCAUACAAACAUUGACUCUAUGUUGGG